UUCUUGACGACCAUAGAGCAUUGGAACCACCUGAUCCCAUCCCGAACUCAGCAGUGAAACGAUGCAUCGCCGAUGGUAGUGUGGGGUUUCCCCAUAUGAGAGUAGGUCAUCGUCAAGAUU
rnacentral:rRNA from 1 species